GCCAUUGAGAAACAUUUCCGGGUCCUUAUGCAGUUUAUAUUUUCUACAAAAAUGUAUACAAUUAGUUUUGGAUUUAGAAAAUUUAAAACCGUUUUCAAGACACCAUUUAUUUAUUUUAUUUAAACACAGCUGCAGUUGCCGUUCAAUAGUAUGCAUAUUCUUACCGCGACAAGAAAUAUUAAAAUCAUCCACAAAAAGUGAUCCAUCAAAUGAAUCGGUUAAAACCUUUGAUAAACUGUUAAUCUUAAUGCUAAAUAAAGUGACAGACAAAAUACUGCCUUGUGGGACACCCUGAUCCUGAUUGUAAUGAGCAGACAGGGUAGAACCACGCGAACUUGAAUUUGCCUGACAUUUAAAAACUGU